rnacentral:rRNA from 1 species
AACGAACGCUGGCGGCAUGCCUAACACAUGCAAGUCGAACGAGACCUUCGGGUCUAGUGGCGCACGGGUGCGUAACACGUGGGAAUUUGCCUCGGGGUAUGGAAUAACUCAGGGAAACUUGAGCUAAUACCAUAUAAUGUCUUCGGACCAAAGAUUUAUCGCCCUGAGAUAAGCCCGCGUAGGAUUAGCUAGUUGGUGGGUAAAGGCUCACCAAGGCGACGAUCCUUAGCUGGUCUGAGAGGGAUGAUCAGCCACACUGGGACUGAGACACGGCCCAGACUCCUACGGGAGGCAGCAGUGGGGAAUAUUGGACAAUGGGCGAAAGCCUGAUCCAGCAAUGCCGCGUGAGUGAUGAAGGCCUUCGGUU